rnacentral:rRNA from 1 species
AGAGUUUGAUCCUGGCUCAGGAUGAACGCUAGCUACAGGCUUAACACAUGCAAGUCGAGGGGAAACGACAGUAAAGCUUGCUUUAUUGGGCGUCGACCGGCGCACGGGUGCGUAACGCGUAUCCAACCUGCCCCCAACUCCGGAAUAGUCCCCCGAAAGGGGGGUUAACGCCGGAUGCUGCAGCUGCUCCGCAUGGUGAAGUUGCGAAAUGGAUAAGGUUGGGGCUGGGGAUGCGUCCCAUUAGGUAGUAGGCGGGGUAACGGCCCACCUAGCCGACGAUGGAUAGGGGUUCUGAGAGGAAGGUCCCCCACAUUGGAACUGAGACACGGUCCAAACUCCUACGGGAGGCAGCAGUGAGGAAUAUUGGUCAAUGGGCGCAGGCCUGAACCAGCCAAGUAGCGUGAAGGAUGACUGCCCUAUGGGUUGUAAACUUCUUUUAUAUGGGAAUAAAGUUUUCCACGUGUAGAAUUUUGUAUGUACCAUAUGAAUAAGGAUCGGCUAACUCCGUGCCAGCAGCCGCGGUAAUACGGAGGAUCCGAGCGUUAUCCGGAUUUAUUGGGUUUAAAGGGAGCGUAGGUGGACAGUUAAGUCAGUUGUGAAAGUGUGCGGCUCAACCGUAAAAUUGCAGUUGAUACUGGCUGUCUUGAGUACAGUAGAGGUGGGCGGAAUUCGUGGUGUAGCGGUGAAAUGCUUAGAUAUCACGAAGAACUCCGAUUGCGAAGGCAGCUCACUGGACUGCAACUGACACUGAUGCUCGAAAGUGUGGGUAUCAAACAGGAUUAGAUACCCUGGUAGUCCACACAGUAAACGAUGAAUACUCGCUGUUUGCGAUAUACAGUAAGCGGCCAAGCGAAAGCAUUAAGUAUUCCACCUGGGGAGUACGCCGGCAACGGUGAAACUCAAAGGAAUUGACGGGGGCCCGCACAAGCGGAGGAACAUGUGGUUUAAUUCGAUGAUACGCGAGGAACCUUACCCGGGCUUAAAUUGCAUUUGAAUAAUCUGGAAACAGGUUAGCCGCAAGGCAAAUGUGAAGGUGCUGCAUGGUUGUCGUCAGCUCGUGCCGUGAGGUGUCGGCUUAAGUGCCAUAACGAGCGCAACCCUUAUCUUUAGUUACUAACAGGUCAUGCUGAGGACUCUAGAGAGACUGCCGUCGUAAGAUGUGAGGAAGGUGGGGAUGACGUCAAAUCAGCACGGCCCUUACGUCCGGGGCUACACACGUGUUACAAUGGGGGGUACAGAAGGCAGCUACCUGGUGACAGGAUGCUAAUCCCAAAAGCCUCUCUCAGUUCGGAUCGAAGUCUGCAACCCGACUUCGUGAAGCUGGAUUCGCUAGUAAUCGCGCAUCAGCCAUGGCGCGGUGAAUACGUUCCCGGGCCUUGCACACACCGCCCGUCA